ACUCAGAUUUAAUGCUUAAUUGUAUACUCUUAUGUCGUUUCCUGUGUAUCCAUCUUGUCUUGACAGCCAGCUCUUCAAGCAGGGGGACAGUGUCACACUCCACAGGAAAGAACAUAAGGUUUAGAAGGAGGGGCCUCGGGUUCAAGUCCCAGCUCUGUGACCUACCAGCCUGUGUGACCUUGGAGUUGUGCAGUGUACCACCUGUGUGGCCAUACAGGGCAGCCCUGCCUGCUAAGGAAAUCACAUGAGCAGGAAUGGACAAAUUGUCUCUGUAAUACAGGAAGGAGUUGGUGUUUGACUGAAGUAGA
rnacentral:lncRNA from 1 species